UACAGAGGUCUCAAGCGUUGUUCGGAUUCAUUGGGCGUAAAGGGCGCGUAGGCGGGUCGGUAAGUCAGGGGUGAAAUCCCACGGCCCAACCGUGGAAGUGCCUCUGAUACUGCCGGCCUCGAGGGGGAUAGGGGCGUGCGGAACUCAGGGUGGAGCGGUGAAAUGCGUAGAUAUCCUGAGGAACACCGGUGGCGAAAGCGGCGCGCUGGAUCCCUUCUGACGCUGAGGCGCGAAAGCCAGGGGAGCAAACGGG
rnacentral:rRNA from 1 species